rnacentral:rRNA from 1 species
GACGGAGGGUGCUAGCGUUGUUCGGAAUGACUGGGCGUAAAGGGCUCGUAGGCGGCCUAUUGCGUCUGCUGUGAAAGCCCGGGGCUUAACCCCGGGUCUGCAGUGGAUACGGGCAGGCUAGAGUUCGGCAGGGGAGACUGGAAUUCCUGGUGUAGCGGUGAAAUGCGCAGAUAUCAGGAGGAACACCGGUGGCGAAGGCGGCUUGCUGGGCCUUACCUGACGCUGAGGAGCGAAAGCGUGGGGAGCGAACAGG